AAUAUUGGACAAUGGGGGCAACCCUGAUCCAGCCAUGCCGCGUGUGUGAAGAAGGUCUUCGGAUUGUAAAGCACUUUAAGUUGGGAGGAAGGGUUUGAGGUUAAUACCAUGAAGUUUUGACGUUACCAACAGAAUAAGCACCGGCUAAAUCUGUGCCAGCCGCCGUGGUAAUCCAGAGGAUGCAAGCGUUAAUCGGAAUUACUGGGCGUAAAGCGCGCGUAGGUGGUUCAGUAAGAUGGGUGUGAAAUCCCCGGGCUUAACCUGGGAACUGCUUUCAUAACUGCUGAGCUAGAGUACGGUAGAGGGUAGUGGAAUUUCCUGUGUAGCGGUGAAAUGCGUAGAUAUAGGAAGGAACACCAGUGGCGAAGGCGACUACCUGGACUGAUACUGACACUGAGGUGCGAAAGCGUGGGGAGCAAAC
rnacentral:rRNA from 1 species